rnacentral:rRNA from 1 species
UAUUGGUCAAUGGACGCGAGUCUGAACCAGCCAAGUAGCGUGAAGGAUGACUGCCCUAUGGGUUGUAAACUUCUUUUAUAUGGGAAUAAAGUUUUACACGUGCGGCACUCUGUAUGUACCAUAUGAAUAAGGAUCGGCUAACCCCGUGCCAGCAGCCGCGGUAAUACGGAGGAUCCGAGCGUUAUCCGGAUUUAUUGGGUUUAAAGGGAGCGUAGGUGGAUUGUUAAAGCAGUUGUGAAAGUUUGCGGCUCAACCGUAAAAUUGCAGUUGAAACUGGCAGUCUUGAGUACAGUAGAGGUGGGCGGAAUUCGUGGUGUAGCGGUGAAAUGCUUAGAUAUCACGAAGAACCCCGAUUGCGAAGGCAGCUCACUGGACUGUUGACUGACACUGAGGCUCGAAAGUGUGGGUAUCAAACA